ensembl:lncRNA
UGCCCUAUUUUCUACAGAGAAUCACACAUACUGCCAAAACUCCACUAUUAGGUCUUAAACCUGCUCCAUCUGCUGCCUGAGCUGGUUGCAUGGACCAUAAUGAGCACGCUGCCACUUCCAGCACCCAGCAGUGAUUGAUGCUGUGUUAAGAGGACACCAGUGGUUCCGGUCUAUUUACAUUUCCAGGGAGCUUGGCUGCGUUUUGUGCUGUCAUUUUCUUCUGGUAUACCAGCUGUGGGAGACCAAAGGGUACAAAAAUUAUUGCAGUGCUCCAGCAAGAAAAUGCUACUGUUGAGAAAACAUCCUAUUGAUGCCACAUUUUUAAAAGGAGCUCCUCUUUAAGCGUUUUAAAGAGCUGCCACCAGCAACAAGCAAAGCUGCUAAUUUGGCCUGGCAAGUGGGGUUUGCUAAACACCAUUUCAGAUUUUAAUUCAUCACAUGUAGAUUUGGAAUUGGAAUUCUACUAGCAAAACCAUCAUCAGCGUGUUUUUGCAGUUCCAGCUCCCUUUCUUUUCACAGUAAGCCUGUCUCCCCCUCUCCCGCUCUGCCUUCUACAGCUGUCAGCUGUCAUCAGCCAGAAGCACAGAUGAGACAGUGCCAGCCCUGCAGAUCUGACCCAAUCUCCUGUCAAACAGAUGCACAGGCCCCAGCUCCUGCUUGCUCCCCAUUUCCUUGUUUGUCUGCAGAAGAUGCAUGCAAAGGGAGAAACCAAAUGUUUCAUGGGAAGAAAAAGCAGAACCAGAAAGCUCUUCUGCUUCACGUUUCUGAUAUUUUGUUAUCUGCCUAUUUACUAUUUUACAUGGCUCACUACUGUAGGUGAAGAUUCCAUUGUAAUGACUUCCAAACAUCAGAUCCCAGCUUUUUUAGGAACUGAGAUUCUCAGAAUUCAUUGGAGACUAAGGAGCUGGUAAUGCUUUUGCCAAGAGAUCUGAGCUGGCUACCAGGAAGAGGGCAGGUUUCCUACCCUGCCUUUGCUGAGCAGGGGAGAUGAGCUGAAAUUCCCAGGGAAAGGAGCUGUCUGGAUCCAAGGAAAGGAGUCAUGUUUUGAAAACUGCUUUCUAAAUGAGUCAGUGGAGCUAUCUCCCAAGGCACUGGAGCCUGCCAGAGGGAAGAGCAGAUAGUUUUGUUGUUUCUUUUCCCUUUCCGCUGUUGAGAUCGAUUAUUCACCAUCUUGAAGUACGUCACCAGCCUCGGGAAGCUGUUUUUUGACUAGAAUACUUCUUGACUUUUCUAUUUCUGAGGAAGUUUUCCAGCCUGACUUGCUGCUGCUUUGUCAAAGCCAUUCCGUGACAGUAAAGUUUGGAGGGAAAAACAGAGCAGGACAACAGGCGAUGCCUUCAGGCCUGGCCUACUGAUGCUUUUUCAUUCGAGGCAGGGAAAGCUGCAGCCACUAAAGCAGUCUUCACCGGAAGGACACACUGAAGUCUUGCUCCCUUCUGAAACAUCUCCUUCCACUCUUUCUUCCAUCCUCUAUUUCACAGGUAUCGGAUUCUUUUCUUUCUAAGACAACCUCGCUGAUAUUCAUGUAAUUAAAUAUUGAGAAGUCAUUCUCAACUUGGCUUUUACUUUGCUUUAAAGGACUUACUUCAAAGUCUGCUGCUUCUAUUUCAGUCCUGAAGGGAAAGGAAGGGCCAAAAACAUGUCCUUUAUCCUGGAACAGCCACUCUAAGAAAGAUGUGCUCUCUUUUGCCUUCAGUUUUUCCACUCAAGGUCAUUGACGUAGAAAAAUGCCUUUCAAGACACACAGUAAAUGCCUCAGCUCUUCAAGUGAAGACUCAUUCAACACAAUCACCAUUUCUGGAAGAGAUGUUUGAGCCUGAACAGGCUCUUACACAUGGCAAAGUGUAAGCUCUUUAUGAGCCCAAAAUCUAAAAAUCAUACCUCCCCUCAGAUAUCUAAAGCCAUAGGCUCCAUCGGAGAUCUUUAUUUUGAUCUUUACCUCCACUUCUUCCUCUCUCAGUCCAAACGAAGCUCUCAGUUUUCCAUUCACACUAAUUACAAGUCAUCCUUUUUACCAAAAAGGCUAGCUAUUUCUUCAUCUCUGCAAGUCACUCACCCUUAUCCUUCUAAUUGCUUGCUUGAUUAGCAUAAUUAAGUUGAACUCAGAGUAAUUGUUCCUGACCUAGGGAUGGACUUGUGUGCUAACAAGCAAAUCUGUGCCAUCUCUUCAGUCAGGCUGGUGAAACACUUGAACUCUUUUUACAGGCUUCACUGCAAUGCCUCCUAAGGCAGAAUGCUGUGUUGCGUUUUGUAAGCCCUUUGCCUUGAAUGAAUGUACGUCACUAAGAAACAGCUUGACAGUAAAACAGUCAGAAUGGCAGUAUGUGAAAAUUGGUGGCUGGCCACACUCGGGUGGGAUUAGCUCCAUCAGAUGAGACACAAUGAAUGCUAAUUUGGCCUCUGACAGCAGGGCAAGUCUGAGACUACCUCAUAAGGCUGAAUGUGUACAAAUCUAUCGGGAUGGAUGGCAUGCAUCCCAGGGUUCUAAAGGAAUUAGAUGAUGUGGUUGCCGAGCCACUCAGCAUCACAUUUGAAGCUGUGGCUGCCAGGUGAAGUCCCUGGUGACUGGAAAAAGAGAAACAACAUUCCCAUUUUUAAGAAAGCAAGAAAAAGAAGACUACAGGACGGUAAGCCUCACUUCUGCGCCUGGAAGAUCGUGGAACAGAUCCUCCUAGAAAACAUGUUAAGGCACAUGAGACAUGAGCAGAUGAUUCAAGACACCCAGCAUGGCUCCAAUGCCAUAUUAUGCAUGACCUAUCUGGUGGUCUUCUGUGAUGAAGUGACAGCAUCAGUGGACCUAGGAAAGGAAACUGAUGUCAUUUACCCGGACUUGUGCAAGGCCUUUGACAUGGCUCCACACCACAUCUCUAUCUCUAAAUUGGAGGAUCCUAACCCUAACCCCCAGCGCAAGAAGGAUGUGAAGUUGUUGGAGCAGGUCCCAACGAGGGCCACAAAGAUGAUCAGAGGGCUGGAGCACCUCCCCUGUGAAGAAAGGUUGAGAGAGCUGGGCUUGUUUAGCUUGGAGAAGAGAAGGCUCAAAGCUCAUCCAUAUGCCCUUCAAGGGAAGAAAUGACUCAUACCUGACUCACAAUCGCUCAAGCAAAGCUGCAACCUUUCAUUCAUUUCCUGGGAGAAGCAUCUGUUAGAUUCAUCUUGGAAGAUUAAGCAUUUCUCACCAUCAUUUUACAGAUGAAGGCAUUUGUGACUGGCUAAGGAAGGGUCAACAGAUUCCCUGCAAUGGAUGGAAAACAAGCUUGUCUGGGCAGUUGAAGCUGCGCAGUGGGGACAGUGAAGAUGCUCUUCACGCUCCCUGCACAUUACCCCUGCCCUGUCACUGUUUCUCCCUGACUGAUUAACAGUCACUCAGGAAAUUGCUCGCGUGUCUUCCUUCCCUGACUGUAGAAUUGCAGCCUCUGCGUUGCCUAUCGGGGAAUAAAUAACAAAUGUACCAUGAGGCUGCUUUAGAAACCACCUUGUUUCAUUGAGCUUGCAGCUUCUCACUUCCACAGCCUUCCCAGCUGCUCCUGCACCCCAAGGCCCCUUCCUAGAACGUCCCUUCAUUCCCAGAGGACAAAAAGGAGUAAAACUGGAGUGUUACUGAAAACCUUUUUUUUUUUUUUGCUAUCUUCUCUCAAAGGAGUGUUAGUUCUCUUUUGUCUGACACCCUACAUAUCCUAUAACUUCAGGUUCCUAAAGAUACUUGUGUCUGCCAAGUAUCUCCCCUUUUUUCUUUAUAGGAACAGAAAGACCCAGCAAGGUUACUGCCCUGAUUCAUUGGAUGCGCAAGUCUAAGGAGCAGAGGGACAUCACCCAGCCUUCCCCACAACUCCAUCAUAUUGAUGUAUAUAUACUGACAUCCCAACGAGCCCAUCACCGCCAUGGUAUAGGGCUUGGCUUUCUUCCUUAUGCUACCAAACAGUAAUAAAGUGC